rnacentral:tRNA from 1 species
UCAAAUUAGACCUUGAAUUAAGUAUUUCAUUUACAUUGAAAGGAUAUUAAUAUAAUUAAUUAAUUUG